rnacentral:ribozyme from 1 species
UGCAGAGUGACGGGGCAGCAGCCUCGGUAAUGCGGGAACCGUUCGGUAUUUCAGGACGGCUGCGGUCACAACCCCGC